AUCCUCAAGAGGGGGACAAGAUUGGGAAACCGAUGCURAUACCCCAUAAGCCGGGAGGUAAAAGGAGUAAUCCGCUUGAGGAGCGGCUCAUGUCCUAUCAGCUAGUUGGCGAGGUAACGGCUCACCAAGGCGAAGACGGGUAGCCGGCCUGAGAGGGUGAACGGCCACACUGGAACUGAGAGACGGUCCAGACUCCUACGGGAGGCAGCAGUGGGGAAUAUUGGGCAAUGGGGGAAACCCUGACCCAGCGACGCCGCGUGAGGGAAGAAGGCCUUAGGGUCGUAAACCUCUGUUGUGUGGGAAGAAGAGCGUGACGGUACCACACGAGGAAGUCCCKGYUWAYUACGUGCCAGCAGCCGCGGUAAUACGUAGGGGACGAGCGUUGUCCGGAUUUACUGGGCGUAAAGGGCGCGUAGGCGGUCAUUUAAGUCAGCUGUGAAAUGGUUUGGCUUAACCGGAUCAUGCGGUUGAAACUGGAUGACUGGAGUGCUGGAGAGGCAAGUGGAAUUCCCAGUGUAGCGGUGAAAUGCGUAGAUAUUGGGAAGAACACCGGUGGCGAAGGCGACUUGCUGGCCAGCAACUGACGCUGAGGCGCGAAAGCCAGGGGAGCAAACGGGAUUAGAUACCCCGGUAGUCCUGGCCGUAAACGAUGAAUGCUAGGUGUGGGCAUCGAGAGGUGUCCGUGCCGGAGCUAACGCGAUAAGCAUUCCGCCUGGGGAGUACGAUCGCAAGAUUGAAACUCAAAGGAAUUGACGGGGGCCCGCACAAGCGGUGGAGCACGUGGUUUAAUUCGAUGCAAACCGAAGAACCUUACCUGGGUUUGACAUGUACGUAGUAGGGAGCUGAAAGGCGACUGACGAAAGAUUCGUCCGGAGAGCGUACACAGGUGCUGCAUGGCUGUCGU
rnacentral:rRNA from 1 species